rnacentral:rRNA from 1 species
AACGUAGGACGCGAGCGUUAUCCGGAGUUACUGGGCGUAAAGCGCGGGCAGGCGGUCUGACAAGUCUGAUGUGAAAUCCUCCGGGCUUAACCGGGGAGAGGCCAUUGGAAACUGACAGGCUGGAGGGCAGUAGAGGUAGGCGGAAUUCCGGGUGGAGUGGUGAAAUGCGUAGAGAUCCGGAGGAACACCAGAGGCGAAGGCGGGUAGCUGGGCCAACACUGACGCUGAGACGCGAAAGCUAGGGGAGCAAACGGG